GACGAACGCUGGCGGCGUGCCUAAUACAUGCAAGUCGAGCGCAGGAAGCCGUCUGAACCCUUCGGGGGGACGACGGUGGAAUGAGCGGCGGACGGGUGAGUAACACGUAAAGAACCUGCCCAUAGGUCUGGGAUAACCACGAGAAAUCGGGGCUAAUACCGGAUGUGUCAGCGGACCGCAUGGUCCGCUGAUGAAAGGCGCUCCGGCGUCGCCCAUGGAUGGCUUUGCGGUGCAUUAGCUAGUUGGUGGGGUAACGGCCCACCAAGGCGACGAUGCAUAGCCGACCUGAGAGGGUGAUCGGCCACACUGGGACUGAGACACGGCCCAGACUCCUACGGGAGGCAGCAGUAGGGAAUCUUCCACAAUGGACGAAAGUCUGAUGGAGCAACGCCGCGUGAACGAUGAAGGCUUUCGGGUCGUAAAGUUCCGUUGUAAGGGAAGAACAAGUGCCGCAGGCAAUGGCGGCACCUUGACGGUACCUUGCGAGAAAGCCACGGCUAACUACGUGCCAGCAGCCGCGGUAA
rnacentral:rRNA from 1 species